rnacentral:rRNA from 1 species
GACGAACGCUGGCGGCGUGCUUAACACAUGCAAGUCGAACGGAAAGGCACCUUUGGGGGUACUCGAGUGGCGAACGGGUGAGUAACACGUGAGUAACCUGCCCUUUACUUCGGGAUAACGUCAGGAAACUGGGGCUAAUACCGGAUAGGAAUCCUUGCUGCAUGGUGGGGGUUGGAAAGCUUCGGCGGUUUUGGAUGGACUGGCGGCUUAUCAGCUUGUUGGUGGGGUAGUGGCUUACCAAGGCUUUGACGGGUAGCCGGCCUGAGAGGGCGAGCGGCCACAUUGGGUCUGAGAGACGGCACAGACUCGUACGGGAGGCAGCAGUGGGGAAUAUUGCACAAUGGGCGGAAGCCUGAUGAAGCAAGGCCGCGUGCGGGAUGACGGUUUUCGGGUUGUAAACCGCUUUCAGCAGGGGCGAAGCUUGUGGUGACGGUACCUGCAGAAGAAGCACCGGCUAACUACGUG